rnacentral:lncRNA from 1 species
ACAUAUGUCCUUGUUCCUUUCUGAUUUUUAAAAAAUUUUAUUUAAGCCCAAUGCAGGGCUCAAACCCACAAUCCUGAGAUCAAAACCCAAGCUAAGAUCAAGAGUUGGAGACUUAACCAACUGAACCACCCAUGCACCCUUGUCUCCUUCUGAUUUCAGAAUAUAUUUCUCUCUUAAAUUUUGGCUGCAUGUGUCCAUACCGAGGGGUUGUAUGAAUACCAGUAUGAGACUGACUUUCUUAUUGUGGCAAAAUGUACAGUUGAGUGACAUUAAGGACAUCCACACUCUUGUGCUACCAUCACCAUGAUCCAUCCUCAGAAAUUGUUUUUAUCUUCAAGACGGACCUUUUUUAUAAAGGGCCAAAUUUAAUUCCCCCUGCCUGGCACAUCGACUUUUUUUUACUUCUCCCGUCUUUAUAUCAUGGCCUUCUCAUCUCAGUAUUUUCUCCAGGCUUACAUGCAGAAGUCAAAUGUAAGGGGGGUUUAGGUGACCUGAUGGGUCAGGCGGAUCCUGUCCUCCUUCAUCUCCAAAGUAAAAAAAUGAUCACAGGUGGCAUUUGGUUUCAUCCUAGGAAUACUAUCAUUUGAUUCAGGACCAUCAUGGUGACUCGAAAGUCUUGGAUGUGGGCCUUCCCAGUCUUGAACCAGAAGGAAAGAGCCACCGGAAUCAGGGGGCAUUCAUGUUGAUUUUCCAGGGACUUCCUUGCAAAUGAAUUCUGCAUGAAAAUAAUUAUUGUUCUGUAUCAGAUGACUUUCUCAUAUUUUAGUGAGAUCAAAGAAAGAACUUUAUUUUUUUAUUUAUUUAUGAUAGUCACAGAGAGAGAGAGGCAGAGACAUAGGCAGAGGGAGAAGCAGGCUCCAUGCACCAGGAGCCCAACAUGGGAUUUGAUCCCUGGUCUCCAGGAUUGCGCCCUGGGCCAAAGGCAGGCGCCAAACCGCUGUGCCACCCAGGGAUCCCCAAGAAAGAACAUUUUAAUUCUGUCCAAGCUAAUCUUGAGGAAAAAAGUCUAACUUCUGGGUACUCUGGAAAUAUUGGAAAUUCCACAUUAAAGAAGAUACAUUUUUGAAUUGAUAACUAAGCUGAUAUGUGAAAGCCUUUACAAAUAUGAAUACAGAAAUGACUAAUUUAGAAUUAAUGUCAGCAAGUUCCUCAGUUGGUCUAUUUUCACAAGAAUGUGCUUCAUACUGCUUAAGACUAGUUAUUGGGUAAAACAUAAAAAUAACAAUCUAUAUUUUCAUGGAUCUAAGACUGUAACAGUCUAUUAGGUGACUUGUUAUUAGGUUUACUAUUGUUUCAUUACCUUAGUAUUGACCAUAUUUAGGUCCACUUUUCUCUAUAGACAUUGUUUCCUUCAAGUCCUAUUUUCAUCACAAAGAUCGUUUUACUGUCAAACAAAAUUAAGUGGUUCCAAAUUGUGCAAUCACUUUUAUGUUAUUUGCUCAAAAUAGGUGGGUCUUGCAUUAAUUCACUUUUGUUUUAAUCCCUUCCUAUCCUGUAACCUGAGAAAAUGAAAGUUUAUCUGGAUUACGUUUAUGUUUAAUAUCAACAUGGUUUGUAAGUAAUGGAAAACCACUCAUUCUCAUAGCUGACAGCCCCUGAACCCCAGUUCUCUGCAGAACAGCCAGAGGUGUGUGCAGUGUGUCUGCACUUGAAGGCCACAGACUGUGUGCAGAAUCAAGAGCUCUGUUGGAACAUGUGUGGUGCAAAGCCAGCUCUGGUGCAUAAGCAACAUGUGGGAUUUAAAGUUUAUUCUUGGCUGGUGUCUCUGGAGAAAUAUUGUUCUCUGUUUAAAAACCAGCUUUCCAGGGGGGCGGGGAAGUGUCCCGGGCAGGCUCAGUAGGGAGAGCAUGUGACUCUCAAUCUCACGGUUGUGAAUUCAAAACCCUACAUUAGGCAUAGAAAUUGCUAAAUUUCUCAUAAAUAAAUAGAUAGAUAGACUAAUAAUAAUAAAUAAACCAACCCAACUUUCCAUACACAAUUGAUCUAUUGGUCCACACAGCCAUUGUCAUCGGAUCAUGGGUUGUUCUUUCAGUCAUUUUGCUUCCAUCAGCGUCACUUGUUUGCGAUGAUUCUUGGAAAGCUUAGUCAAGAGGAUUUCCUAAAAUUAAAAAAAAAA